rnacentral:rRNA from 1 species
GUCUACCGCCAUAUCACCCUGAAUGCACCCAAUCUCAUCUGCUCUCAGAAGCUAAGUAGGGUUAGGCCUGGUUAGUACUUGGAUGGAGUAGUAU